rnacentral:rRNA from 1 species
CUGCAGUCGAGCGGUAGAGAGAGCUUGCUUCUCUUGAGAGCGGCGGACGGGUGAGUAAUGCCUAGGAAUCUGCCUGGUAGUGGGGGAUAACGUUCGGAAACGGACGCUAAUACCGCAUACGUCCUACGGGAGAAAGCAGGGGACCUUCGGGCCUUGCGCUAUCAGAUGAGCCUAGGUCGGAUUAGCUAGUUGGUGGGGUAAUGGCUCACCAAGGCGACGAUCCGUAACUGGUCUGAGAGGAUGAUCAGUCACACUGGAACUGAGACACGGUCCAGACUCCUACGGGAGGCAGCAGUGGGGAAUAUUGGACAAUGGGCGAAAGCCUGAUCCAGCCAUGCCGCGUGUGUGAAGAAGGUCUUCGGAUUGUAAAGCACUUUAAGUUGGGAGGAAGGGCAGUUGCCUAAUACGUAACUGUUUUGACGUUACCGACAGAAUAAGCACCGGCUAACUCUGUGCCAGCAGCCGCGGUAAUACAGAGGGUGCAAGCGUUAAUCGGAAUUACUGGGCGUAAAGCGCGCGUUGGUGGUUUGUUAAGUUGGAUGUG